rnacentral:rRNA from 1 species
CGGCGGACGGGUGAGUAACACGUGGAUAACCUACCUAUAAGACUGGGAUAACUUCGGGAAACCGGAGCUAAUACCGGAUAAUAUAUUGAACCGCAUGGUUCAAUAGUGAAAGACGGUUUUGCUGUCACUUAUAGAUGGAUCCGCGCCGCAUUAGCUAGUUGGUAAGGUAACGGCUUACCAAGGCAACGAUGCGUAGCCGACCUGAGAGGGUGAUCGGCCACACUGGAACUGAUACACGGUCCAG